rnacentral:rRNA from 1 species
GACGAACGCUGGCGGCGUGCCUAAUACAUGCAAGUUGAGCGAUGAAGAUUGGUGCUUGCACCAAUUUGAAGAGCAGUGAACGGGUGAGUAACGCGUGGGGAAUCUGCCUUUGAGCGGGGGACAACAUUUGGAAACGAAUGCUAAUACCGCAUAAUAACUUUAAACAUAAGUUUUAAGUUUGAAAGAUGCAAUUGCAUCACUCAAAGAUGAUCCCGCGUUGUAUUAGCUAGUUGGUGAGGUAAAGGCUCACCAAGGCGAUGAUACAUAGCCGACCUGAGAGGGUGAUCGGCCACAUUGGGACUGAGACACGGCCCAAACUCCUACGGGGGGCAGCAGUAGGGAAUCUUCGGCAAUGGACGAAAGUCUGACCGAGCAACGCCGCGUGAGUGAAGAAGGUUUUCGGAUCGUAAAACUCUGUUGGUAGAGAAGAACGUUGGUGAGAGUGGAAAGCUCAUCAAGUGACGGUAACUACCCAGAAAGGGACGGCUAACUACGUG